ensembl:lncRNA
GACGGAGCAUAUGAAAUUCGUGAAACGUGGGGUGAAAGGUGAGAAAGCAAGGAAAGAACUAUCAAGAAAUAGAAAUCUGAAUAGUGUUUUCUGGUGGCGGUGGUGUUAUGGAAAUGUGUGUAGGGGAAAUGCUUCCAGCCUUUAUAGACACGGGAUGCUGUAACUAUCACCGAAAUGUAAUGGAUGCCUGAGUCUGCAGACGACCUGAGACAGCAGCUGCUCAGGCUGUGAUCUACUGUAUUUAACUCUGAAACCCACAGUUGCUCAUGCAAGUGAUUUGCCUGAGUUAUGGAGCUAGGAGCAGGCUGUGCUUGGAGCCUAGAAUUGUUUUCAUUUUGUCUUGCAGCUGGUCCAAAGAAAAGCUCUGGAAAUGCUAGUCCCUGCAGGUCAGAGCCACGUCGCUGUAAUUCAUCAGCUUGGGGUCUACUGCCAUCAUCUGUAAGUCCCGCAGAUGUCAGCAGUUCAAGUGCUGAUGGAGUCCAGUCUUUCAGAGCCGUCAUUCACAGCCUGACCCUGGUCCCUGAUAAGUCAGCGCUGGCUUUCAGUGUGCCUGGCUCCUGCGCUCUGAAGAGGAUGCUCCACUCCGCUCUGCACUGAUGCAUUCAGGAGGACAGCAGUUAAGAUGUGGGCCUUAUUUUCCUGCCCAAAUCCUGCGGGAGAAGAAGCGAUCACAUGCUAUUCGUUGUUUCGAGAUUAUUGAAGAAACCACUGCUAUUGAACUGGCAGGGGAUCUUUCCUUCUGUGACCUUUGCCAGAGCAUCUGAUUGGUGUGCCCCACCUGCAGGCCCUAAUCUUCUUGGGAAAGUUUUAAAAUCGUCUGAAAAGCAACCGUCUUCUUUCCUAGUCCUUACUGACUUGUACGGGCUUUUCCUGGCCUUUCCAACUGCAGCGUGAAGGGGAUUGUUUGUUUUCUUUUUAAAUGUUAUCCUGCCUUCCUCCUCUUUUUUAACAAAACUGUACGUGAAGACUCGCUGUGUAUUGAGCAUGGCACAUGGACAGAGUGGCUGCUUUGAACUACUUUCGCAACAAUGGAUUCUGCUCGACUGAUAAUGAAACCAUGGGACAGACCUCAGGGAGGUGAGUCAUAUGUUAAUUUGUUCUUGAAGUUUCCUUAGUAUGUUAAAAGCUGUGAUCUUUCAGAAAAAUCUCUUAUUUCUAUUUUUUUUUUUAAAUUACUUCCUGGGGCCAUGGCAGAUGCUGUUUGGAAUGACACCCAAUGAGUUGUUCUAAUAUAGUCCAGUGCUCGAUUGGCAUUCUGCUAUUGUGCAAAUAUUUUUGGUACUUCUUUUACCGCAAAGAUAUUUUAUUAAGUGCGGCACAUUGUUAUACACAUGUGGUGCUAUGGAGCUCCAGAAUAUGCAUGGGACAUAGUGUUGAGCUGCAGGAACACAAUAGCAAUGAGUCACUGGAAUCCCUUGUUGGUCACAAGAGUUUGAACAACUGCAGUGAUAAUCUUUCGAGACAAUGUACAACUCCAGUGGUAUUUGCGAUCUGCUCCAUGGUCUCCCUCAGUUAGCUGCUUCAUUGGCUUGGCUUUGUGGGUAUUCUAAUCAUGUUGGCACAGUCACUUUGAUUAACGGUGACAUGCAACUCGCAAGUCUCUGGGCUUGCGCCGACCUCAAUAAAGUUGUGUGCUUUAUUUCUUUUCA